rnacentral:rRNA from 1 species
AGAGAGAGACAUGCGCGCAUAUCAAUAAGCGGAGGAAAAGAAACUAACUAGGAUUCCCUCAGUAACGGCGAGUGAAGCGGGAAGAGCUCAAAUUUGAAAUCUUCAAGGGUUCUACCUUUACGAAUUGUAGUUUAAAGAAGUGUUUUCUGUUGAGGUUUUGGUAAAAGUUCUUUGGAAUAGGACAUCAUAGAGGGUGAGAAUCCCGUAUUUGACCAUUAUUUCCAGCUUUGUGAUACACUUUCAAAGAGUCGGAUUGUUUGGGAAUGCAGUCCAAAAUGGGUGGUAAAUUUCAUCUAAAGCUAAAUACUGGCGAGAGACCGAUAGCGAACAAGUACCGUGAGGGAAAGAUGAAAAGAACUUUGAAAAGAGAGUUAAACAGUACGUGAAAUUGUCAAAAGGGAAGCGUUUGACACCAGUGUUGUUUUUCUGAAAAUCAAUUAAAGAACUGUUUAUGCUAAGUUGUUUAGACUUUAUCAGCUGACUGUUUAGUUUUGAGCUUUUCUUUAAUGCACUUUUCAGUUAACAAGUCAACAUCAAUUUCUUUUGCUGUAAAAAAGCUUGAGGAAGGUGGCUUGAGAUUCGUCUUAAGUGUUUAUAGCCUCUUGCCUAUGCAGUCGGAGAGAUUGAGGUCUGCAGCGUAGAUCCUUCGGGGUUAGAUACAUUUGUGCUAAGUUAUAGCCUUUCAUAGACAACUUGUUGACUAUGAUCAGUCAUGUAGCUUACUCGCUUAUGCUAUUUUACCUACGCUUAGGAUGUUGAUGUGAUACUGCGACA